rnacentral:rRNA from 1 species
UACGUAGGUGGCAAGCGUUGUCCGGAGUUAUUGGGCGUAAAGCGCGCGCAGGCGGUGCGGUAAGUCUCUGGUGAAAGCGCUCGGCUUAACUGGGCGAGGGCCGGGGAGACUGCCACGCUGGAGGGGAGCAGAGGCGAGUGGAAUUCCGGGUGUAGUGGUGAAAUGCGUAGAGACCCGGAGGAACACCGGUGGCGAAGGCGGCGACCUGGUCCGACACUGACGCUGAGGCGCGAAAGCGUGGGGAGCAAACAGG